rnacentral:rRNA from 1 species
UACGUAGGGGGCAAGCGUUGUCCGGAAUCACUGGGCGUAAAGCGCGCGCAGGCGGUCAUCUACGUCUGGGGUGAAAGCCCGGAGCUCAACUCCGGGACUGCCUUGGAUACGGGAUGACUUGAGGAUCGGAGAGGCAAGGGGAAUUCCACGUGUAGCGGUGAAAUGCGUAGAGAUGUGGAGGAACACCUGUGGCGAAGGCGGCUAGCUGGGUUCACAUUGACGCUGAGGCUCGAAAGCGUGGGGAGCAAACAGG